CCCGCUCAGAAACUUAAUGAAUUGACGGGGCCCGCACAAGCGGUGGAGCAUGUGGUUUAAUUCGAUGAUACGCGAGGAACCUUACCUGGGCUCAAAUGUAUGUUGACGUAUUCUGAAAGGGAUACUUCUUCGGACAAUAUACAAGGUGCUGCAUGGUUGUCGUCAGCUCGUGCCGUGAGGUGUCGGGUUAAGUCCCAUAACGAGCGCAACCCCUAUCAUUAGUUGCCAUCAGGUCAAGCUGGGGACUCUAAUGAAACUGCCUACGCAAGUAGUGAGGAAGGUGGGGAUGACGUCAAAUCAGCACGGCCCUUACGUCCAGGGCUACACACGUGCUACAAUGGCCGGUACAAAGGGCAGCUACCUGGUGACAGGAUGCUAAUCUCAAAAGCCGGUCUCAGUUCGGAUCGGAGUCUGCAACCCGACUCCGUGAAGCUGGAAUUGCUAGUAAUCGCGCAUCAGCCAUGGCGCGGUGAAUACGUUCCCGGGCCUU
rnacentral:rRNA from 1 species